GUGGGAUUGGUAGCAUCCUAGCACUCCAUUUGCCUAUUCGUGGGGGUCAGUGAGGAAUUUUUCCUUCUCAUUAUUAGGUGACAUAAUCUCUAAUUUGUCUUGCUUUGGUUGGGAGUUUUGGAAAUGGAGAUUGUAUGAGUAGUUGAGUGGUUGCUGGUGGCAUUGUUCUUGGUAAACUAUCAAGUUUAUGGCAUUAGUUGAAAGUAUAUUUGUGUCUGUCAGGUGCAGGAUCAGGAUUCAUAUUGGUAUGAGCUUUCAGCUACACUAGCUAAUUGGUGAUGGAAAUCAUGUACCUCUAAAUAUGCUACUGCUUAAG
rnacentral:lncRNA from 1 species